rnacentral:rRNA from 1 species
UGGGAAAUUUUGGACAAUGGGCGCAAGCCUGAUCCAGCAAUGCCGCGUGCAGGAUGAAGGCCUUCGGGUUGUAAACUGCUUUUGUACGGAACGAAAAGCUUCUGGUUAAUACCUGGGAGUCAUGACGGUACCGUAAGAAUAAGCACCGGCUAACUACGUGCCAGCAGCCGCGGUAAUACGUAGGGUGCGAGCGUUAAUCGGAAUUACUGGGCGUAAAGCGUGCGUAGGUGGUGGUUUAAGUCAGAUGUGAAAGCCCUGGGUUCAACCUGGGAACUGCCUUUGUGACUGCAAGGCUGGAGUGCGGCAGAGGGGGAUGGAAUUCCGCGUGUAGCAGUGAAAUGCGUAGAUAUGCGGAGGAACACCGAUGGCGAAGGCAAUCCCCUGGGCCUGCACUGACGCUCAUGCACGAAAGCGUGGGGAGCAAACA